rnacentral:rRNA from 1 species
AAAUGAAUAGACGGGGACCCGCACAAGCGGUGGAUUAUGUGGAUUAAUUCGAUGCAACGCGAAAAACCUUACCUACCCUUGACAUGUAUCGAAGCUUGCUGAAAGGCGAGUGUGCCCGAAAGGGAACGGUAACACAGGUGCUGCAUGGCUGUCGUCAGCUCGUGUCGUGAGAUGUUGGGUUAAGUCCCGCAACGAGCGCAACCCUUGUCAUUAGUUGCCACCAUUUAGUUGAGCACUCUAAUGAGACUGCCGGUGACAAACCGGAGGAAGGUGGGGAUGACGUCAAGUCCUCAUGGCCCUUAUGGGUAGGGCUUCACACGUAAUACAAUGGCGCGUACAGAGGGUUGCCAACCCGCGAGGGGGAGCUAAUCUCAGAAAGCGCGUCGUAGUCCGGAUCGGAGUCUGCAACUCGACUCCGUGAAGUCGGAAUCGCUAGUAAUCGCGGAUCAGCAUGUCGCGGUGAAUACGUUCCCGGGUCUUGUACACACCGCCCGU